rnacentral:rRNA from 1 species
AUUGAACGCUGGCGGCAUGCUUUACACAUGCAAGUCGAACGGUAACAGGCCGCAAGGUGCUGACGAGUGGCGAACGGGUGAGUAAUGCAUCGGAACGUGCCCAGUCGUGGGGGAUAACGCAGCGAAAGCUGCGCUAAUACCGCAUACGAUCUAUGGAUGAAAGCGGGGGACCGUAAGGCCUCGCGCGAUUGGAGCGGCCGAUGUCAGAUUAGGUAGUUGGUGGGGUAAAGGCUCACCAAGCCAACGAUCUGUAGCUGGUCUGAGAGGACGACCAGCCACACUGGGACUGAGACACGGCCAAGACUCCUACGGGAGGCAGCAGUGGGGAAUUUUGGACAAUGGGCGCAAGCCUGAUUCAGCAAUGCCGCGUGCAGGAAGAAGGCCUUCGGGUUGUAAACUGCUUUUGUACGGAACGAAACGGUCCUGGUUAAUACCCGGGGCUAAUGACGGUACCGUAAGAAUAAGCACCGGCUAACUACGUGCCAGCCGCCGCCGUAAUAC